GCCUGGAUAGAGUACAGUGGCCAGGCAAUUCCUGUCGGCAGAUGAGUUGCCUGUGUGGGCACUCUUGGAUUUCAAAUGGCUUCCAGAGCUUUGAAGUCUAGGGGAAGCACAUGCAGGAGAAACGGUGAUGACACAGACACAAGCCAGGACACUUGAAAGACAACGGGGCCACCUGGAGCCAGGGAAGGCAGGGAGACACCCCUCUGGCCUCUCGGAACAGCCAGCAGGUGCCCAACCCUUUGGUAAGAUCAAAGUCUGGUGCAUGAGUUUCUGAUUUUGUGACUGCUGUUGAAGCCACAAGAAGCUAACCCAUCCUCACAGCCGGCCUCAGACAAAUGCUAGCACUCAGCCAGAGAUGGCGGAGAAAGGAGAAAACCUGCUGUCCACUGUGCGUCUUCAUGAGACCCCAGACUAGGAACAAAGGAGAAGGAGCUGGAGCCGGCAAACACAGCGGAGGAUCCUGGUGUGACUCAGGACCAGUCACCCCGUCACAUGCUCCUUGGUAAUCAGUGUCCAGACACGUGGGUGAUACACCCACCACAGAGGAGCGUCACUUGCUAUCCAAAGGCAUCUAGGUGGUAUAGCCACUAGCAUACCAUGUGGGUGCACACAUAGGCACCCACACCUGCGUACGUACACUCAUGCAUACGCUCACCAACAGCGUGUCUAGGGAUAUUCACUCACCAGUAGCAGGUUGUUCUCCUUGCAUUUUUGGAGGAUUAAUGGCUUGGUGGUGACAAAUUUUGGGGGAAUGGUCAGAUGACAUGUUUCUACAUCCUGUAUAAAGUUCUGGAAGGUAGCUGAAGAGGCUCUGGGAGGGGAGGAUGCUACAGUGUUCUGACUCAGACUGGAGAACACUCACUCAGGGGAGCAGUGAUGUCAAGACAUGUCACAGAGCAGCGCACUGAAGAACCGGUUGUGUGUUGAACUCUGAGCCACGGCCAACACAGACUCGCCGACUUAGAAAACACACGCAAGAACGGAUUUUGAGAGUUUUGAAUCCCUUAGAACCCAAUGGGUCAAUAAGGAUCAAGCUCUGGACAGAAGUGAAGCUCUCACCUGCCAUCUAGGAUGCCAAGACUUUGGCUACCCUGAGGCAUCUAUGUCUAAUACCUAAGCCCCAAAGCAGCAGCUGGUAUUCGGGGCAGGGGUGUUCACUUAGGGACCCUGGAGGCUGGACAGGGACCACAUAGCUGCAGCCAGCAGGGCAGACAAGCCUAGCUGUGUGUGUGUUCUGACAAUGUCACUUCAUGUAGAAACAAACGUCAGGGGGCUGGAGAUGGGGCUCAGUCGGUAGAGUGCUUGCCUGGCAUACAUGAAGCCCUGAGUUCGAUCCCCUGUAGUACACAAACAGGGUGUGGUGGUGCACACAUGUAAUCUCAGACUGAGGAGGUACAGGCAGGAGGGCCCAAGAUUCAAGGUUGUCCUUGGCUACGUACACAGUGAGUUCAGGGCCACAUGAGAUCCUGUCUGCAAACAAACAAUGUCAAAACAAACACGAGUGCCUGAAAAUGUUUUUUUUCAGGGAAUCAGGGGAGAAUAAACAUUAAACUAUAUGAAGACUAUUCA